rnacentral:lncRNA from 1 species
AGAGAUAGAUAGUGUUUUUUAGUUUUUUUUUUUAAUUUUAAUUAUAUAUAUAUUUUUAAUUUUUAAUAUUCAAGUGGGCUCAGAUUGGCUUGUAGCGUUCAAUUAUUGUUCACGUGACCGUCACGUCACAAAUUAAUGGAUGUUUUAAUAGAAAGCUUAACAGAUGUAUGAAGGUUUAAAAGCCAAAAAUUGUUUGAUUUGUCCAAAACUCAUCUCUAACUAAAGGCUAGUUUAUAAUUAUAUGGAGUCCACUAGGCCAUUAUUUGACCAAAUGGACAUCAAGCUAUCUAAAUGUAGCCUCCCUCUUAGCAUAUUUUUGGUGUUGAGCCCCUCAAUUGCAAUAAUUGAUUCAAAUUCAACGACUAAAUUUGAAAACAUCUAAAUGUAGUUUAAUUAAAUUAAUCAUAAAUUUAAAGUAUAAACUUAAAACUAUAAAUUAUUGAGAAAGCUAUGUUUAGUCCUUUUUGUUAGAGAUGAUAUAUGAGUAUGACCUAACAUUAUUUAUUUAAAAAUAUUUUUUAUAGGAUUAUAAUUCUAGACAUGACUAUAUCUAGCCGUCUCGGUUGAAGAUGAUCUUAAUUACUAUACUGGAUUGAAAAAAAAUUGAUAUAUGCAAUAUUGAAUAAAAAACAUUUAGAAUAAUAAACUAAGAAUUGUUGCAGUCCUAUUAGAUUAGGAAUGUGAUUGUGUAAAUCCUAGUAUAUCUUGAAAUAUCUCUUAUAUUCCUAUUAGACGUAAAUUACCUAUUAAGAGUUGUAAUUCUAAAGGGUAAGAAAUUAGCAUUCCCUACUACUAUAAACAAAGACACAAUGGGGUGGAAUAACACAUGCCCCACAAUUACACAUUUCUCUCUUUCUCUCUAUCUAUGCCGCACCCCUCUCUCUCUUUGGCCUCCAUAAUUGUUUAGUAAAUUAUGCCUACAACACGUUAUCAGCACGCUCUUGACGCUGCGCUAAAGAAAGUUUGAUCUUCAAUCAGGAGAGUAUUAUGUUUUAAUCAUUCUUUUUAUGAUUAAUUUAUUGUUUUGAAUUGAUCUACAUGAUAUUGAUUCAAUUUAAUUUUUCUGUGUUGAAUGUGAUACAACGCAUUGGAGAUGCAAUUCCGGCUUUAUGAGAAUGAUCUUCUAUAAAUUUAAAGGCUCUUGUUGUUUUCUAUCAAUCAGGUACGCUUAAAAUAAAGGAAGAUAUUUGAAACGACCUUGAAGCAUGAAAACAUUUCCCAUGAUGCAUGAACCCCC